UACGUAGGCAGCAAGCGUUGUUCGGAGUUACUGGGCGUAAAGGGUGUGUAGGCGAUUAUUUAAGUUUGGUGUGAAAUCUCCCGGCUCAACCGGGAGGGUGCGCCGAAUACUGAAUGACUUGGAGUGCGGGAGAGGAAAGUGGAAUUCCUGGUGUAGCGGUGAAAUGCGUAGAUAUCAGGAGGAACACCUGUGGUGUAGACAGCUUACUGGACCACGACUGACGCUGAGACACGAAAGCGUGGGUAGCAAACAGG
rnacentral:rRNA from 1 species